GCCAUUGAUGCUUGCAGCUUCCUGCUAAAAUCCUACACUAAAGUGUUCUAGAAAUUCUAGAACACUAUACCUACACUUCGUCGUCAUCGCGUGCAUGUGUAGCGGUUCAUGUGAGCGUUUUAACGGGAAGUGUUAAUUCAUUUGUCAGCUCAAACAGCAUCAGAAGCGAUGCUUAAACUGACUCAGCCUCGUAUGGAACGAAUCGACCCUGCUGAGGAGAAGCAUCGGGCUCGGUCUGCCACGAUUAGCACAUUAUUCAAGUUCGGUCUUCUAGUUACACUAAUACGAGCAACGCCCUAUGUUAUCCACCAGCUCCGGAGCUAGGAAAACUAUCGCAAUGGCUGGUCUCGACGGAUGGCGCGA